UACAGAGGGUGCAAGCGUUAAUCGGAAUUACUGGGCGUAAAGCGCACGUAGGUGGCGACGUAAGUCGGGUGUGAAAGCCCCGGGCUCAACCUGGGAAUUGCAUUCGAGACUGCAUUGCUGGAGUACGGAAGAGAAGGGCGGAAUUCCCGGUGUAGCGGUGGAAUGCGUAGAUAUCGGGAGGAACAUCUGUGGCGACAGCGGGCCUCUGGUCCUCUACUGACACUCGAGUACCAAAUCAUGCGGAUCGAAUACG
rnacentral:rRNA from 1 species